UACGUGGGGGGCGAGCGUUGUUCGGAAUUAUUGGGCGUAAAGGGUGCGUAGGCGGUUUGGUAAGUCUCUUGUGAAAUCUAUGGGCUCAACUCAUAGUCUGCAAGGGAAACUGCCGGGCUUGAGUGUGGGAGAGGUGAGUGGAAUUUCCGGUGUAGCGGUGAAAUGCGUAGAUAUCGGAAGGAACACCUGUGGCGAAAGCGGCUCACUGGACCACAACUGACGCUGAGGCGCGAAAGCUAGGGGAGCAAACAGG
rnacentral:rRNA from 1 species